rnacentral:rRNA from 1 species
GUUGUUUUUCCGAAAAUUAAUUACGAAUGGCUUGAUUUUGUGUUGUAUUGACCUUAUCAGCUUUCUUCACUUUUUUCGAGUCUUUCUUAAUGCACUUUUCGGUUAACAAGUCAACAUCAAUUUCUUUUGUUGUAAAAGAGUAUUCGGAAGGUGGCUUUCUUUUCGGAGAAAGUGUUUAUAGCCCUAUACUUCUACAAUCGGAGAGAUUGAGGUCUGCAGCGUAGAUCCUUCGGGGUUAGAUACACUUGUGCUAAGUUGUAGCUUUUCAUAGACAACUUGUUGACUAUGUUUAGUCUUGCGGCUUACUCGCUUGUGCUAUUUUACCUAC